UCUCACGCAACCCUCGAUGACAAGGUGAGGUGGGGGGGGCACACCUCACACACACACACACCUCAGUGCGUCGUAUCGAUAUCUUCGGACCCUCUCCGUAUGGGGAAGCCGAGCAGCCUCGCCCGCCCCCCCACCUCUGUCAAUGCACAACCACCUCUGGUGGGUGGCAGGGCCAGGUGCCUGCGGCGUAGGGGGAGGCCAGUGCGAUGUACCGCCACUGAUGCCGGCGGUCAGGUCCUGGAUGGCGCUUCAUCGGAGAGAGCUGCGACAGUGAAUACGCUUGCACUAUCCACAUGAUGGGCAGCGUGUCGACGUGACUCGACCGCAUCUCAGUCGGCCCUUGCUGCCCGCUGGUGGGUGAGCCUGAGCCAUCCCAAGCGAUGCGCCAGCUGGCGACCUGCUCAGCGUGGAGUGGCGGGCAGAGUUUGAGGCAGGGGCCGUGCUCCGAUGGCUGAGUCGGCGCAUCGCUGUAGCGCGUAUGCCUACGGCUGCUUCGCACCACGCGAUGGGUGGCGUGUGGCACGGCGUGUGGGCACAGCGGCCUUUGACCUCACGUUGUGUGCGGCAGCGAAAAGAAAACGGGCACGUGCCGAAGAAGAGAAAUCGGUUUCACACCAACGGUCUUUGCUGCCGCUACCGUCUCACAGACAGCAGUCCGCGGGCCCGCUCCCGCAUGUCUGGGCAUCCAUCCGAAGAAGAGGGCGCGCGUACGCUGUCGUUCAUUCCCUUCAUCCUUUCCGUGCACCGCCGUCGUUUUCGGCCUCUGUAGCUCUCUACUCACCCCACCCCACCUCCGACACACACGCGCAUCAUCCGCCUUCUCCCUCCCUUUUCGCUGAGCCCUUUUGAUGGGAAG
rnacentral:misc_RNA from 1 species